rnacentral:tRNA from 1 species
CGGGACGUAGUUCAGUUGGUAGAACGCUCGGUUCGGGACCGAGAGGUCGGCAGUUCAAAUCUGCCCGUCCCGA